rnacentral:rRNA from 1 species
UCAUUCUAGAUACACUUUCCAGUACAUCUACUAUGUUACGACUUAUCUUACCUUAAUAAUAAGAGCGACGGGCGAUGUGUACAUAUUUUAGAGCUAAAAUCAAAUUAUUAAUCUUUAUAAUUUUACAACCAAAUCCACCUUCAAAAAUUUUUUCAUAAUUUUAUCCGUUUAAAUAAAUUUAUUGUAACCCAUUAUUACUUAAAUAUAAGCUACACCUUGAUCUGAUAUAAAUUUUAAUUAAAAUUAUUGAAUAUUAUUAUUCUUAUAAAAUAUUCUGAUAACGACGGUAUAUAAACUGAUUACAAACUUAAGUAAGGUCCAUCGUGGAUUAUCGAUUAAAAAACAGGUUCCUCUGGAUAGACUAAAAUACCGCCAAAUUUUUUAAGUUUCAAGAACAUAUCUAUUACUAC